UACAGAGGUGGCAAGCGUUGCUCGGAAUCACUGGGCGUAAAGGGCGCGUAGGCGGGCUCUUAAGUCAGGGGUGAAAUCCCACGGCUCAACCGUGGAAGUGCCUUUGAUACUGUCGAUCUCGAGGGAGGUAGGGGCGUGCGGAACUUCCGGUGGAGCGGUGAAAUGCGUAGAUAUCGGAAGGAACACCGGUGGCGAAAGCGGCGCGCUGGACCUCUUCUGACGCUGAGGCGCGAAAGCCAGGGGAGCAAACGGG
rnacentral:rRNA from 1 species